AAAAGGCCCGGAAAAAGAAGUAUAAGCCACUUUCACUUUAUAUAAAUUUAAUGAGAAUUUAUUUUUCUAUUUCAAUAGAUUGUCCCAAAUCUUUGGUUAAAAAUAAAAAAAUUCUUCAGUUUCUAGAGAUACAUAUCCAGAUACACCGUUUUUCCAUAAAAUAAAUAUAAAUGAGUGAGCGUCCUUCAUUUUGUUGUAAUUUAAUUUAGAGAUACAUCUUCGCAUAUGUUUUAGGAUGGUCCGCAUAUGUCUUCAAUUUUCAAUAAAACAUAUUCGGACUCACCAUUUUUCCACAAAAUAAGUAUAAAUGGGGCAUCUCUGAAAUAAUCCUUAUUUUUAAAUUAAGAGGAUUUUUGAGAUAUGAAUCUCCGAAUACGUUUAUUAUCAUUUCACUUUUGCACUAUGGAUUAAACAAUGACAACAAGAACAACUGAAUCGUAGGCGAUAGGUGCUACUAGUGAUAAAGCAAUUCAAUGAGAUAUGGAUGUCUUUAUAUAUAUAUAUAUAUAUAUAUAUAUAUUAAAUGUUCUUUUUUUUUCAUUUAUUUCAAAAAUAUACCUCUCCUUUCUUGCGAAUGAUAUAUUUAACUUUGUCAGAAUUAAAAAAAUGUAGUUUCGGGGACAAGGAUUUUAGGAAGGAGAUUAUCCUUCAUGAAUUUUUCAUCCAGUUAAAUUUUAAACAUUAAUUUAUUUUAAUAUCUCUUAAUUGUAUUACUAAAAUAAUAAUUGAGGGUAGAUAUAUAGACUGGACUACCUCGCGGGAGUUUUCGGCGGGAGGUAAUCCAAACUCGAAUUUAACUAUAAUGUAUGUCUCUUUCUGUUGUUUUUCUCAAAUUCAAAUGGAUAUGCAUAAUAACUCAAACUCAAAUGGAUAUGCACAAUAAAUUAAAUUGAUUGUGUUGUUCAUUAAAUAUGUCUAAAUAAUGUAUCUCUAAGUAAGUCAAAUAUAUUGUUAGCUUUACUUGCCGUGUAUGUCAAAGUAAAAAAUAUUUUUAAGGAUAUAUAUAUAUAUAUAUAUAAUGAAUAUAUCCUAUAAAAUUUCCACAAAUACAUCUUCAGAUCAUCUUUUAGCCAAAACGGGGAUGUGGUGAUAUAAGAUGUGUUUUAAAAUGUAUCUUUAAAAAUAUAUGAAGAUAGUUUUGGGUUUUCAAAA
rnacentral:lncRNA from 1 species